rnacentral:rRNA from 1 species
UUUGAUUAUGGCUCAGAUUGAACGCUGGCGGGAUGCUUUACACGUGACAAGUCGAACGACGUAACCUGGACUUCGGUCUGGUGGCGAGUGGCGAACGGGUGAUAAUGUAUCGGAACGUGCCCUGGUGGCGGGGGAUAACUGCGAAAGCGUAUGUGCUGCAUACGCCCUUCAGGGGAAAAGCGGGGGACCUUCGGGCCUCGCACUAUUAAACGGCCGAUAUCGGAUUAGCUAGUUGGUGGGGUAACGGCUCCGCCAAGACGACGAUCCGUAGCUGGUUGAGAGGACGACCAGCCACACUGGGACUGAGACACGGCAGACUCCUACGGGAGGCAGCAGUGGGGGUACGGACAAUGGAAACCCUGAUCCAGCCGCUCCGUGUGCGAUGAAGGCCUUCCGGGUUUGUAAAACACUUUUGGCAGGAAAGAAACGGCACGGGAUAAUACCCGUGCAACUGACCACCUGCAGAAUCAAAACAUGAGGCUAACUACGUGCCAGCAGCCGCGGUAUGCGUAGGAGUGCAAACGUUAAUCGGAAUUACUGGGCGUAAAGCGUGCGCAGGCGGUUCGGAAAAGAGAUGAAAUCCCAGAGCUUAACUUUGGAACUGCAUUUAACUACCGAACUGGGGAGGUGUCAGAGAGGUGGAAUUCCGCGUGUAGCAGUGAAAUGCGUAAGUAUGCGGAGGAGCUUACCGAUGGCGAAGGCAGCCUCCUGGGAUAACACUGACGCUCAUGCACGAAAGCGUGGGGAGCAAACAGGAUUAGAUACCCUGGUAGUCCACGCCCUAAACGAUAUCAACUAGCUGUUGGGGCCUUCGGGCCUUGGUAGCGCAACUAACGCGUGAAGUUGACCGCCUGGGGAAAUACGGUCGCAAGACAAAACUCAAAGGAAUUGACGGACCCGCACAAGCGGUGGAUGAUGUGGAUUAAUUCGAUGCAACGCGAAAAACCUUACCUACCCAUGACAUGUCUGGAAUCCCGAAGAGGGUCGGGAGUGCUCGCAAGAGAACCGGAACACAGGUGCUGCAUAGCUGUCGUCAGCUCGUGUCGUGAGAUGUUGGUUAAGUCCCGCAACGAGCGUAUGUCAUUAGUUGCUACGAAAGGGCACUCUAAUGAGACUGCCAGUGACAAACCGGAGGAAGGUGGGGAUGACGUCAAGUCCUCAUGGCCCUUAUGGGUAGGGCUUCACACGUCAUACAAUGGUCGGGACUGAAGGUCGCCAACCCGCGAGAGGGAGCCAAUCCCCAGAAACCCGAUCGUAGUCCGGAUCAUGAUCUGCAACUCGACUGCGUGAAGUCCGGAAUCGCUAGUAAUCGCGGAUCAGCAUGUCGCGGUGAAUACGUUCCCGGGUCUUGCUACACCGCCCGUCACACCAUGGGAGUGGGUUUUACCAGAAGUAGUUAGCCUAACCGUAAGGAGGGCGAUUACCACGGUAAGUUCAUGACUGGGGUGAGGUAGUAACCAAGGAUGAA